UUAAGAUAUGGCAUCAUAUUUUAAUUAAAGCUUCGGCGGUCUUAGAUGGGCAUGCGUGACAUUAGCUUGUUGGUGAGGUAACGGCUCACCAAGGCAACGAUGUCUAGGGGUUCUGAGAGGAUUUUCCCCCACACUGGUACUGAGACACGGACCAGACUCCUACGGGAGGCAGCAGUAAGGAAUAUUGGGCAAUGGACGAAAGUCUGACCCAGCCAUGCCGCGUGCAGGAUGACAGCCCUACGGGUUGUAAACUGCUUUUAUACGGGAAAAAUUCCCCAGUCGUGUAUCGGGGUUGAUGGUACCGUAAGAAUAAGCAUCGGCUAACUCCGUGCCAGCAGCCGCGGUAAUACGGAGGAUGCAAGCGUUAUCCGGAUUUAUUGGGUUUAAAGGGUGCGCAGGCGGAAUGAUAAGUCAGUGGUGAAAUCCUACAGCUCAACUGUAGAACUGCCAUUGAUACUGUUGUUCUUGAGUACAUUUGUAGUGGGCGGAAUGUGUCAUGUAGCGGUGAAAUGCUUAGAGAUGACACAGAACGCCGAUCGCGAAGGCAGCUCACUAAACUGUAACUGACGCUGAGGCACGAAAGCGUGGGGAUCAAACAGGAUUAGAUACCCUGGUAGUCCACGCUGUAAACGAUGAUCACUCGAUGUUGGCGAUACACUGUCAGCGUCCAAGCGAAAGCAUUAAGUGAUCCACCUGGGGAGUACGGUCGCAAGAUUGAAACUCAAAGGAAUUGACGGGGGCCCGCACAAGCGGAGGAGCAUGUGGUUUAAUUCGAUGAUACGCGAGGAACCUUACCUGGGCUCAAACGCAAAACGAUUUUCCGAGAAAUCGGAAUUCCCUUCGGGGCGGAUUGCGAGGUGCUGCAUGGUUGUCGUCAGCUCGUGCCGUGAGGUGUCGGGUUAAGUCCCAUAACGAGCGCAACCCCUAUCAUUAGUUGCCAUCAGGUUAUGCUGGGGACUCUAAUGAAACUGCCUACGCAAGUAGUGAGGAAGGUGGGGAUGACGUCAAAUCAGCACGGCCCUUACGUCCAGGGCUACACACGUGCUACAAUGGCCGGUACAGAGGGUCGCUACCUGGCAACAGGAUGCUAAUCUCGAAAACCGGUCUCAGUUCGGAUCGAAGUCUGCAACUCGACUUCGUGAAGUUGGAUUCGCUAGUAAUCGGAUAUCAGCAAUGAUCCGGUGAAUACGUUCCCGGGCCUUGUAC
rnacentral:rRNA from 1 species